CUCAGAUGAUCCACCCACCUCGGCCUCCCAAAGUGCUGGGAUUACAGGCAUGAGCUACUGCGCCUGGCCACAAAUUCUUAAUUAUAAACUCUGUCAGGUGUCAAGGAAUAAAAAUAUAGAGUGUGUGAAUGCCCAACAUAGGACCCUAACUUAGUGCAGACAGUCAUGGAAAGGUUCACUUAUUAAACCUAGAUUUGCCAUGAUUUUAGUCCUAGAAGAUUAGAUGACCAUGCACCCAACUCUGUCCUUACAGUUCUGACCCACUGGACAUGUGCUCUUCUCCUUUAACCCCUGGGUUAAAGUUUUGUCCAGUAUGGGACAAAACUCUUUUCCUUGGUUUUUCCUUGCUCAGCUGAAACAGUCUGGUAUU